rnacentral:rRNA from 1 species
AAGCGCUGGCAACCAGACUCGAGCGCGGUGUUCCCCCUGGCUUCUGCUAGGGUUACUUCACCGUGUCCGGGCCAUCAUCAGUUUUGGGGACCGGUCAAAGGCCCCGGGAAUGUAUCGUCUCCUUCGGGGGACGAC